UACGUAGGGGGCAAGCGUUGUCCGGAAUCAUUGGGCGUAAAGCGCGUGUAGGCGGCUUGGUAAGUCUGCUCUGAAAGCCCGGGGCUCAACCCCGGGAGGCGGGUGGAUACUGUCAAGCUCGAGUCCGGAAGAGGAGUGUGGAAUUCCGUGGCGUAGCGGUGAAAUGCGUAGAUAUCGGGAGGAACACCAGUGGCGAAGGCGACUACCUGGCCUGUUCUUGACGCUGAGGCGCGAAAGCUAGGGGAGCAAACGGG
rnacentral:rRNA from 1 species